AUUGAACGCUGGCGGCAGGCCUAACACAUGCAAGUCGAACGAGUGGCGGACGGGUGAGUAAUGGAUGGAACACUGCGUGAUCGAGGGGUCUAACUGCUGGAAACCGUAGCUAAUACGUCAUACAAUCGGAUGUGCCCAGAGGGGAUUAGCUAGUGGGGGGGCUAAAGGCACACCAAGGCGACGAUCCCUAGCUGGUCUGAGAGGAUGACCAGCCACACUGGAACUGAGACACGGUCCAGACUCCUAUGGGAGGCAGCAGUGGGGAAUAUUGCACAAUGGGCGCAAGCCUGAUGCAGCCAUGCCGCGUGUGUGAAGAAGGCCUUCGGGUUGUAAAGUACUGUCAGCGGGGAGGCGUUACCCGCAGAAGAAGCACCGGCUAACUCCGUGCCAGCCGCCGCGGUAAUUC
rnacentral:rRNA from 1 species